UACAGAGGUCUCAAGCGUUGUUCGGAUUCAUUGGGCGUAAAGGGUGCGUAGGCGGCGCGGUAAGUCGGGGUGUGAAAUCUUGGAGCUUAACUCCGAAACUGCAUUCGAUACUGCCGUGCUUGAGGACUGGAGAGGAGACUGGAAUUUACGGUGUAGCGGUGAAAUGCGUAGAUAUCGUAAGGAAGACCAGUGGCGAAGGCGGGUCUC
rnacentral:rRNA from 1 species